rnacentral:rRNA from 1 species
GAUGAACGCUGACAGAAUGCUUAACACAUGCAAGUCUAUGAGAAGAUCUACUUCGGUAGAAGGUAUCAUGGCGGACGGGUGAGUAACGCGUAAAGAACUUGCCUCUUAGACUGGGAUAACAGAUGGAAACGUCUGAUAAGACUAGAUAUAAUAGCGACAUGGCAUCAUGUUGUUAUGAAAGGUAACACUAAGAGAGAGCUUUGCGUCCUAUUAGCUAGUUGGUGAGGUAAAGGCUCACCAAGGCGAUGAUCAGUAGCCGGCCUGAGAGGGUGAACGGCCACACUGGGACUGAGACACGGCCCAGACUCCUACGGGAGGCAGCAGUGGGGAAUCUUCCGCAAUGGGCGCAAGCCUGACGGAGCAACGCCGCGUGGGUGAAGAAGGCCUCGGUUGUAAGACCUGUCUUAUGGAAGAAGUACAGUGACGGUACCGAUAGGAGGAAGACCACGGCUAACUAACGUGCCAGCAGCCGCGGUAA